UACGAAGGGUGCGAGCGUUGUCCGGAAUUACUGGGCGUAAAGAGCUCGUAGGUGGUUUGUCGCGUUGUUCGUGAAAACUCACAGCUCAACUGUGGGCGUGCGGGCGAUACGGGCAGACUAGAGUACUGCAGGGGAGACUGGAAUUCCUGGUGUAGCGGUGGAAUGCGCAGAUAUCAGGAGGAACACCGGUGGCGAAGGCGGGUCUCUGGGCAGUAACUGACGCUGAGGAGCGAAAGCGUGGGGAGCGAACAGG
rnacentral:rRNA from 1 species